UACGGAGGGUGCAAGCGUUAAUCGGAAUUACUGGGCGUAAAGCGAGCGCAGGCGGUUAUUUAAGUCUGAUGUGAAAGCCUACGGCUCAACCGUAGAAUUGCAUCGGAAACUGGAUGACUUGAGUGCAGUAGAGGAGAGUGGAACUCCAUGUGUAGCGGUGAAAUGCGUAGAUAUAUGGAAGAACACCAGAGGCGAAGGCGGCUCUCUGGACUGUAACUGACGCUGAGGCUCGAAAGUGUGGGUAGCAAACAGG
rnacentral:rRNA from 1 species